rnacentral:sRNA from 1 species
UAUAACGAUGAUGAUGAUGAUGUCGGACCAGGCUUCAUUCCCCUCAACU